rnacentral:miRNA from 1 species
CAGGAGCUCCGAUUGGCCAAGU